CGUUCAAAAACUCGGUUACAAAAGGAAUCUUCUCUCUCUCUCUCUCUCUCUCUCUCUCUCUAUCUCUCUAACCACCCUCCUUGAUCGGCAUCUCCUCCGCCGUCUCCCCAUUUUCCACGGUGUCUGAGAGCGGAGAAAUCGUAUUGGUAACACUACUGCCGACCAAAAUUUCAGAUUAAGCAGAAUAGCGCCUCUAUGGAAGUUGCACCUCAGAGUUCGGAAGCCCCAGUAACCAAGGCGGCUGAGGAUUCUGGAAAUGAUGCCAAUGGUGAUAAGGUUAUGAAUGGAGAUGCAAUUCAAGUAGCAAAAGAAAGUAAGAACGAAGAGGAGGAAAAUUCUCUGGGUGGGGAGUUUAUAAAAGUAGAAAAGGAGCCUCUGGAGGGGGAGGAUACUCCUCCAGCCAAAACAGCAUUCGUAGAGGAGGAUAAACCAACUAUUUCUGAAAGAAGUGCAAGCAAUCCGAGCAGAGAAUUAUUGGAGGCCCAAGAGAAGUCGAGAGAUUUUGAGCUUGAAAUUGAGAGAUUAGCUGGAAAUUUGAAGCAUCUAGAGUCGGAGAAUUCAAGGUUGCAGGAUGAGGUAUUACUCACAAGUCAGAAGCUCGAGAAAAGUGAAGAGAAGUAUGAAGUGCUUGAACUCGAUCUUAAGAAAUCGAAGGAGCAGAUCGUUGAAUCUGAAGAGAAAUAUAGUUCGCAGCUCAACAGUUUGCAAGAGGCAUUGCAAACUCAAGAAGCGAAGAACAAGGAGUUGGUUGCGGUGAAAGAAGCAUUUGAUAGUUUGAGCAAUGAUUUUGAGAAUUCCCGGAAGCAGAUUCAAGAGUUGGAACAAAAAUUGAAGAUAUCUGGAGAUGAAGCAUUGAAAUUUGAAGAGCUUCACAAACAAAGUGGCUUAAAUGCUGAAUCUGAGGCAAAAAGAGCAUUAGAGUUUGAGAGGCUUCUUGAAGCAGAAAAACUGAGUGCCAAACAAAGAGAAGAUCAAAUCUCUUCCCUGCAAGAAAAUAUCAAGGAGUUAAAUGACAAUAUUGCUGAAAGCCAAAAGGUAGAAGAAGCACUUCGAACUACAGCAACUGAGCUUUCUGUUGUCCAGGGAGAUCUGGCGCUUUUUAAAUCUCAAGUGCUAGACUUGGAGAAGAAACUUUCCACGAAGGAAGGUUUAAUUGAAGAACUAACUAAGGAACUGGACAUCCGAAAGACUUCAGAAUCUAAGAUCAAGGAAGAUAUUUCAGCCGUUGAAAACCAAUUUGCUGCAACUAAAGAGGAUCUUCGUGUAAAGAUGUCUGAACUGGAAGAAAUCAGGUUGAAGCUUCAGGAAGAAAUGAACCAAAAAGAAUCUGCUGAAUCUGCUUUAAAAACUAAGGAAGCACAAGUCUCCGAUAUUCAAAAGGAACUUGCUGCAGCUAUCAAAGAUAAAGAAGAGCUUGAAGCGACUCUAGCAGAUUUCUCUAGCAAUGCCAAACAAAUGAAAGAUUUAUGCAACGAUCUUGAGGAAAAGCUGAAGCUUUCAGAUGAGAAUUUGGGAAAAGCUGAUUCUCUUUUGUCUCAAGCUCUGUCCAACAACAAGGAGUUGGAACAGAAGUUGAAGGAUUUGGAGGAUCUUCAUAAUGAAACUGGAGUUGUCGCUCAAACUGCCACUCAGAAGAAUCUUGAACUUGAAGAAAUUGUCCGAGCUUCAACUGCAUCAGCGGAAGAUGCAAAAUCACAAUUAAGAGAACUUGAGACUCGAUUUGCAGCAGCAGAACAAAAGAAUGUGGAGCUUGAACAACAGCUAAAUUUGUUAGGAUUGAAAAACAAUGAUGCCGAGAGGGAAGUUACUGAAUUAUCUGAGAAAAUAAAAGAACUCGAUACUAAAUUGAUCGAUGUUGAGGAGGAAAAGAAGCAGCUGAAUGACAAAAAGCAGGAAUAUCAGGAUAAGGUACUGCAACUAGAAUCCGCAAUACAGGAGUUAACGUCGCAGCAUCAAGAUCUUGAGAAGGAGCUGAAGGCCACAAUUGGGAAAUGUGCUGAACAUGAGGAACGAGCUAACAUGAAUCAUCAACGUAGCCUUGAACUUGAAGAACUGACCCAGAGAUCUAAUAACAAAAUUGAAGUUGCUGAUAAAAGGGUGAAUGAGUUGGAGUUGUUGCUUGAAGCAGAAAAAUACAGAAUUCAAGAGCUUGAAGGGCAAUUGAGUACUUUAGAAAAGAAAUGUGGGGAUGCUGAAGCAGAAUCCAAGAAAAACUUUGACCAUGUAUCUGUCUUGGCGUCUGAAAUAAAGUCAUAUGAAGAAAAAGUAGCAAGCCUUGAAACUGCAUUGAAUGUUGCCAAUGUAAAGGAAAAGGAAUUAACUGAAGAGAAGAAAAAAUUGGAAGAUGCAUUGAAUUUGUCCAACAGUCAGCUAGCUGAAUCAGAAAAUUUGGUGGAAGUCGUAAGGAACGAUCUGAUCAUUACUCAAAAGAAACUUGAAACUAUUGAGAGUGAUCUCCAGGCAACUGGUAUCAGAGAGGCUGAGGUGCUCAAAAAGCUGAAGUCUGCGGAAGAAAAACUAGAAGACCAAGUAAGAACAAUAGAGCAAACUACUACGAGAAACUUAGAACUUCAGUCGUUACAUGAGUCAUUAGCUAAAGAUUCUGAAACUAGAAUGCUGGAAGCAGUAGCAAAGUUCACCAACAAAGAAUCUGAGGCUAACUCUCUAGUGGAGAAAAUUAAAGUUCUUGAAGAACAAAUAAAAGCUUAUGAGGAUCAGAUAUCUGAAACCAAUGGAAGAUCUGCGGCUUUAAAGGAAGAAUUGGAUCAGACUUUGACAAAAUUGACUUCUUUGGAGAGUACAAAUGGUGAACUCAAAAAGCAUAGUUCGGAAGUUGAAAAUAAACUUUCUCAGAUUUCUUCAGAGAAUGAAUUAUUAUCAGACACAAACAUUCAACUCGAAACCAAGGUUAAUGAACUGCAGGAGUUAUUGAGCACUGCACUGUCUGAAAAGGAAACAGCUGAUCAACAGCUUGCUUCUCAUAAGAGCUCUAUUUCAGAACUAACAGAAAAGCACUCGAGAGCCAUCGAGUUCCAGUCUGUAACUGAAGCUCGUCAAGUGGAGACAGACCAGAAACUGCAGGAGGCCAUUCAAAAAUUCGAACAGAGAGAUUCGGAGGCAAAGGACUUGAGUGCGAAACUAAAGACAGCAGAGGACCAAAUAAAAGUGUUUGAAACAAGGGUUCUGGAAGCUUCAGAAAAUGUUGAAGCUCAUAAGAGUCAGCUCGAAGAGACACUUUUGAAAGUAAAGCAACUAGAAAGCACUGUAGAAGAAUUGCAAACCAAGAAAGUUGAUGCCGAAAAGGAGAUUGCAGGGCUAAAUGAGGCGAAGUUGAAGCUUACUCAAGAACUAGCUUUAUUUGAAUCUAAUUUGAGUGAUCUCCAGGCCAAGUUAUCAGCUGCAAACGUAGAAAAGGAUGAAACUGCUGAACGGCUUCAGACAGCAGAGGGCCAGAUUACAAUGGUUGAAGCAAAGGCUCUGGAAGCUUCUACAACUGCCGAAGCUUAUAAGAGUCAGCUCGAAGAGGCUCUUUCGAAAGUAAAGCAUCUAGAAACUAGCAUGCUGGAAGGAGUAGCAAAGUUCACCAACAAAGAAUCUGAGGCCAACUCUCUAAUAGAGAAAAUUAAAGUUCUUGAAGAACAAAUAAAAGCUUAUGAGGAUCAGAUAUCUGAAACCAAUGGAAGAUCUGCAACUUUAAAGGAAGAAUUGGACCAGACUUUGACAAAACUGACUUCUUUGGAGAGUACAAAUGGUGAACUCAAGAAGUACAGUUCGGAAAUUGAAAAUAAAGUUUCUCAGAUUUCAUCAGAGAAAGAAUUGUUAGUGGACACAAACAUUCAACUCAAAACCAAAGUUGAUGAACUUCAGGAGUUAUGGAACACUGCUCUUUCUGAAAAGGAAACUGCUGAUCAGCAGCUUGCUUCUCAUAAGAGCUCUAUUUCUGAAUUAACAGAAAAGCACUCGAGAGCCAUUGAGUUCCAGUCUGUAACUGAAGCUCGUCAAGUGGAGACAGAUCAGAAAUUGCAGGAGACCAUUCAAAAAUUAGAACAGAGAGAUUCGGAGGCUAAGGACUUGAGAGAGAAACUAAAGGCAGCAGAGGACCAGACAAAAUUGUUUGAAACGAAGGUUCUGGAAUCUUCAGCAGAUGUUGAAGCUCAUAAGAGUCAGCUCGAAGAGACUCUUUUGAAAGUAAAGCAACUAGAAAGCACUGUAGAAGAAUUGCAAACCAAGAAAGUUGAUGCUGAACAGGAGAUUGCAGGGCUAAAUGAGGCGAAGUUGAAGCUUACUCAAGAACUAGCCUUAUUUGAAUCUAAUUUGAGUGAACUCCAGGACAAGUUAUCAGCUGCAAACGUUGAAAAGGAUGAAACUGCUGAACGGCUUCAGACAGCAGAGGGUCAGAUUAAAUUGGUUGAAGCAAAGGCUCUGGAAGCUUCUACAAAUGCUGAAGCUUAUAAGAGUCAGCUCGAAGAGACUCUUUCGAAAGUAAAGCAUCUAGAAACUAGCAUGCUGGAAGCAGUAGCUAAGUUCGCCAACAAAGAAUCUGAGGCUAACUCUCUAAUGGAGAAAAUUAAAGUUCUUGAAGAACAAAUCAAAGUUUGUGAGGAUCAGAUAUCUGAAACCAAUGGAAGAUCUGCAGCUUUAAAGGAAGAAUUGGAUCAGACUUUGACAACAUUGGCUUCUUUGGAGAGUACGAACGGUGAACUCAAAAAGUAUAGUUCGGAAAUUGAAAACAAAGUUUCUCAGAUUUCUUCAGAGAAUGAAUUAUUAGUAGACACAAACAUUCAACUCAAAGCUAAGGUUAAUGAACUUCAGGGGUUAUUGAGCACUGCUCUUUCUGAAAAGGAAACUGUUGAUCAACAGGUUGCUUCUCAUAAGAGCUCUAUUUCUGAACUAACAGAAAAGCACUCUAGAGCCAUCGAGUUCCAAUCUGUAGCUGAAUCUCGUCAAGUGGAGACAGACCAGAAAUUGCAGGAGGCCAUUCAAAAGUUAGAACAGAGAGAUUCGGAGGCAAAGGACUUGAGUGCGAAACUAAAGACUGCAGAGGACCAUAUAAAAGUGUUUGAAACCAAGGUUCUGGAAGCUUCAGAAAAUGUUGAAGCUCACAAGAGUCAGCUCGAAGAGACUCUUUUGAAAGUAAAGCAACUAGAAAGCACGGUAGAAGAGUUGCAAACAAAGAAAGUUGAUGCUGAACAGAAGAAUGCAGGGCUAAAUGAGGCAAAGUUGAAACUUACUCAAGAACUAGCCCUAAUUGAAUCCAAUUUGAAUGACCUCCAGGCCAAGUUAUCAGCCGUCAAUAUUGAAAAGGAAGAAACUGCUGAACGGCUUCAGACAGCAGAGGAUCAGAUUAAGUUGGUUGAAGCAAAGGCUCAGGAAGCUUCUACAAAUGCUGAAGCUCAUAAGAGUAAGCUCGAAGAGACUCUUUUGAAAGUAAAGCAUCUAGAAAGCAUAGUAGAGGAGCUGGAAACCAAGGCAAUUAAUGCUGAAAAGGAGUGUGCAGGAUUAAGUGAGGCAAAUUUGAGACUUACUCAGGAAUUAGCCUCAUAUGAAUCUAACUUCAGUGAUCUCCAGACCAAGCUAUCUGCUGCAAACGUUGAAAGGGAUGAAACUGCUGAACGGCUCCGGGCAGCUGAGGGCCAGAUUAAAUUGUUUGAAGCGAAAGCUCAGGAAGCCUCCACAGAUGCUGAAGCUCUUAAAAGUCAGCUCGAAGAGACUCUUUUGAAAGUAAAGCAUCUAGAAAGCAUUGUAGAGGAGCUGCAAACCAAGGCAAUUCAUGCUGAAAAGGAGAAUAAAGGGUUGAAUGAAGCAAAUUUGAGACUGUCUCAGGACUUAACCUCGUAUGAAUCUAAUUUGAGCGAUCACCAGACCAAAUUAUCUGCUGCAAAUGCUGAAAGGGAUGAGACUAAUGAACGACUUCAGAUUGCAGAGAAGACUGUAAAUGAGUUGAAAUCACAGCUAGCUUUCGAAGAACAGAGACUACAGUCUCAGAUCGCUUCAAUGAUGGAAGACAACAACGUCCUCAAUGAGACAUACCAGAAGACCAAAAACGAGUUACAAUCGGAGAUAGCACAGCUGGAAGGAAAAUUGAAAGAACAGAGCAAAGUUGAAGAAUCAUUAAAAUCUGAACUUGAACGUCUCAAGGCAGAGAUUACAGAGAAUAAUGAUUUUAAAAUACGCCAUAAAGAAGAGCUAAGUAAAUCUGAAGCUCUCCGGAAAGAAGAGCUUGAAAGCGUCCGAACAACAGCUGCUGGAAAAGAGACAGAAUUGAAAUCCAAAUUGGAAGAUUAUGGACUAAAAAUCAAAGAUAGAGACCAAUUAAAUGAACAAGUACAACAACUUCAGAAAGAAUUGCAGGUGGCAAAGUCAGAGAUUGCUGAACAGGACGCUCUCUUCAACAGAAAGAGAAAGGCGCUCAAAAAGAGUUCGAACGAGAAGGUUCACUUCAGCGGUCUCUUCAAGGUCUGGAAGCGAAAGGCAAAGAAAUUCUUGCUCUAGAAACACAAGUCAAGGACCUCCACCACAAAUUGCUCCUGGCUGAGGCUAAGUCUAUACAAAAGGGUGAGGCUGAUACGGAGGGAGUAGAAGUAAAAUCCCGAGAUAUUGGAUUAAACUUUUCAACUCCAACAAAAAGGAAGCACAAGAAGAACAAAGAAGCAACAGCUGCAGCAGCAUCCACGCCACCUUCAUCUUCUACUUCCCAAACACAGAUUCAAACUACUGAGGUUUCUUCAAUAUCCUCUUUGAAGCAUAUUUUCGUAGUAGCAAUUAUAUCUAUUAUACUUGGAAUAUAUCUGGGGAAAAGGUAUUAAAUUUUCUUUUUUUCUUCCCUUAAUUAGAAAAGACGUCCUUAUUUGGAAGCCCCAUCUUUGUAAUAUCUUUCGAGUUUAUGUUUUUAAAUUUGGUUAGGGAAUUGGUUUUUUU